rnacentral:rRNA from 1 species
GGGCCCGCACAAGCGGUGGAGUAUGUGGUUUAAUUCGAUGCAACGCGAAGAACCUUACCAGGGUUUGACAUCCUGCGAAUCUCUUGGAAACAGGAGAGUGCCUUCGGGAACGCAGUGACAGGUGGUGCAUGGCUGUCGUCAGCUCGUGUCGUGAGAUGUUGGGUUAAGUCCCGCAACGAGCGCAACCCACGUCUUUAGUUGCCAGCAUUUAGUUGGGCACUCUAGAGAGACUGCCGGUGAUAAACCGGAGGAAGGUGUGGAUGACGUCAAGUCAUCAUGCCCCAUUACAUCCUGGGCUACACACGUACUACAAUGCUACGGACAAAGGGCAGCAAGUUCGCGAGGACAAGCA